UACAGAGGUCCCAAGCGUUGUUCGGAUUUACUGGGCGUAAAGGGAGCGUAGGUGGCCUUCUAAGUCUGAUGUGAAAGCUCUGAGCUUAACUCAGAAAUGGCAUUAGAUACUAGUUUGCUCGAGGAUUGGAGGGGAGAUUGGAAUACUUGGUGUAGCAGUGAAAUGCGUAGAUAUCAAGUGGAACACCAGUGGCGAAGGCGAGUCCCUGGACAACUCCUGACACUGAGGCACGAAAGCUAGGGGAGCAAACAGG
rnacentral:rRNA from 1 species